rnacentral:rRNA from 1 species
UACGUAGGAGACGAGCGUUGUCCGGAAUUACUGGGCGUAAAGCGCGUGUAGGCGGAUGAGCAAGUCUGCUGUGAAAGCUCCUGGCUUAACCGGGAGUGGUCGGUGGAAACUGCUCGUCUGGAGGACGGUAGAGGUAGGUAGAAUUCCCGGUGUAGUGGUGAAAUGCGUAGAGAUCGGGAGGAAUACCUGUGGCGAAGGCGGCCUACUGGGCCGGACCUGACGCUGAGACGCGAAGGCGUGGGGAUCAAACAGG